rnacentral:misc_RNA from 1 species
UUGUGGAGGAGGACGCCGAAGGUGGGGCUAAUGACUGGGGUGAAGUCGUAACAAGGUAGCCGUACCGGAAGGUGCGGCUGGAUCACCUCCUAACAGGGAGACAACAAAAUGUUUAAUAUUAUUAUUUUGUCACCUUAGGUCGAUCGGUAUCUCACGUUCUUAAUUUGUUAAGAAUUUCAUUUCCUAAGUUUUUCUAGGUCACACCCAUUAUUUUUCCUGGGCCAUUAGCUCAGGUGGUUAGAGCGCACCCCUGAUAAGGGUGAGGUCCCUGGUUCAAGUCCAGGAUGGCCCAUAUCUCUAUGUUGGGGGUAUAGCUCAGUUGGUAGAGCGCCUGCUUUGCAAGCAGGAUGUCAGCGGUUCGAGUCCGCUUACCUCCACUGAUUACCACCUCUUCCAUAACUGGUAGAAAGGAAAUGUUUUGAGUUGUGAUUAUUAUUCUGAACGAAUCUAGCUUCCUAAUGAAAUCAUUAAGAUGCUGGACUCAUUGAAUUAAUUUCAUUGUUUUCAGAGAACCUUGACAACUGCAUAGAUUUUUUUUAAAGACAAUAAGCAUCUUUAAUGAUGCAGAUUUAUUAUUUGUGCGAAUGCAUUAAUAACAAUUCUAUUAAGCUGAUGCUUCAAUUUUUGAAGUUAUUGGUCAAGCUACAA